ACGUGGCUAACUCCUACCUUGUAAUAUGUAGCAUGACAGUAUGUUUGGUCCCUUGUCCAUUGAUAUUGUCCGUCCAAAUCUUCAGAAUUAUAUGUAUGUAGCCUGUAUUUCUCAACGUUGUUGUGCUGUGGUCUAAAUACCGAUUGUUAUCUUACUGCAAUUGCAUUUGAUUUGAUUGCGCCGUUGUGUCGUGGUCUCACUCUCCAUAGAGAUUUUGGCAUGGUUCUGACUAGCAAAUUUCUAGAAUACUGUAAGUCAGUUUUUGGUUCAUCUUGUUUGGAAACCAGGAUACUGUGAUGUAAAUGCUCAAGUCCUUGCCCCUUCACACAUCAGCAAAACUAAGUGAUACUCUACUUUUAUUUUUCCUCACUUUAAAACAGAUAAACAGAAGCAAAAGUUGCUCUUCCUGUUCACAUAUCAUAACAGGAUGCAGAGGUUGCUCUCUUUGUAUUUGCCUUAAGUACUAUAAACACAUCACAAAUAGAAGGAAUUACUAGCUGCAGUUCACGGCUGUAGUCACGGCUGUAGUUGAGGUUGAUGCAGAGGAGCCGAACCACACAAAUGCAUGACUCUCCUCUUAUUUCUCUAUCAAACUAUUGUCAUAUCCGAGGAAAAUAUGAAUUCUUUUCCAAGUCCCAAAUAUCAUUGGCUUCACUCUGUAUAUUAAAGAGAGACAUACCAGAUUUUAUACACACAAAAAAUCAUAUUGCUUACAAAUGGAUUUUAGGAAUUUUGGACAAGAUAAGUGGAAUACCGUUAGUAAACGAGCAUAGUACCUAUAUUCCUGCAAACCAUCUGCAUUUGCUCCAGUCAUUUUCUCUAUAGGUGCUUCGCAUUGUGCAACUGGAAUGUACUUCUCUCCUGUCUAUGCAAAAAAUAAAUUAGAAUAAACAUUAGUUGAGUUAUUAGUAACUCUAUAGGCUUUUUGAUAAGUGAUAAGAGGUUUACAGAAGAAGAUUGUUUUUCGGGAAUGACUUUAGCUGCCCCUUUUUUCUUUUUACUGGGAUGUUGAUUAUCAAGCCAUGAUUUCUUCCUUUUUGAAGUCUUCUGCUGAAUUUCCUUUUUCUUCAGACAGGCUGUUUGCAAACAAAUGUCUGGUUCCUGAGAUAUAGCUUCAGUUCUGCAUGUAGUAGUAGGAGCUUUGUCUUCAACUUGCUUCUUUAGAUUCUUCAAAGCAUCAUCUACUAAUUUUAUGCACUCUUGUGAUGCAACUGCUUGGGAAGCUAUGCCAAGGAACUCAUGCAUGAAAAACUUAAGCUGCUGCCUAUCUUCGGAUCUAGGGUCUUGCAAAACAAUGUUGCCAUGGCUGUUUUGAAUAGUGCCGCUUCGUGCUUCUCGAGUCCAUCGCUUCAAAAUAUAGUGGCUUGGAAGAUACUUAAUAUUCAUGACAUCAAGGGCUUUCAAAGCAUGACUACACAAUAUACCAACUCUUUCAAAUUGACCACAACUACAUAGAACUUUUUGCUCUUCAUCAACCAGAACUUUGCAUUCUUCCUCAUAAGAGCAUUCCGGGUCAAGAUUGGCAAUUGCAACAGUAUAUACAUUGUGUUCCUCCGAUGGCUUGAUGUACGCUGAGAUGGAUCUUUCAUAUUCAUUCUGAAAAUCUUCAAAUAUGUGAGGUGUGUAAACUUUGCUUGCUUGUAUUACUGUAGGAGUUCUUAUUCUAACUCUAGGUAAUUUUUUUCUAGACUCAUAUUCCUCAUUUACCUCUUUAUCUCUCUUUCCUUUCACAACCCUCUCUACGUGCUUGAAAAAAUGAAGAAUGUCAAGAUCAGACUUCAAAUGGUCUUUCAAGUCACUAUUCAAGCUCUCACUUAAUUGUGUGCUUCUCAUGCCUAUAGUUGAAAGCUUCUUCAAAGUCUUCCUCUUCCUCAUACUUGUACAUGCAAGCACUGAAAUCAGCAAGUACAUUUGGGCCAUCCUCGUCUUUUUUCUUAUGAGGAGAAGGAAGAGGCAAAAGGGAGAUCAUCUACAUUAAUCUCCUGUCAAUUAUUGGAAAUCCCAAGUACUUCACGAGCAAACCACCUAUGGAGAAGGAUGGUAGAAGUGAGUUCAAAAGGGAGAUCAUCCACACCACUUGCAGAUCAGCAGGAGGAGAACAAUCAGUAGAGCGAUAGGGCAAGGGAGAUUUUUAUACCACAUAAACUUGCAGAUCAACGUGAAGAGGACAAAGAUAGGGCAAAAGGGGAUCUCUAUGCCGCCCAUAGAUCAACAUAUACCUUGGUCACGUUCUGGCUACAAGGAGGAGGAUCAAGGAGGACUGGGGAAGACGGGCGGGAUGAAGGCAUAGAGAUCGCUGUUUGGCGCCAGCGUUCUGUUUGGCGACGAAGGCAUGGAAAUCGCUAUUUGGCGCCAACGUGCGUUCUGUUUGGCGCCAAGCAGCCAUAGGAGAUUUUUCAGCAGACAAAUUGGGUGUUUGUUUUCAUUUUUUUAAAGAAAUAAAUGGGGAAAUUAGAGCGGUCAGAUAGGAAUUGACGGCCGAUGUGGACGUCUACAGCACAUGUGCUGUAGUAGUUUGACUGCAGAGGAGCCGAACCCCUCUUUUUGAUACGACCACUAAUCAUGCAUGCAUGGACAAAUGGGGCACCGACCAAUAGAGUUUUUGGAUAUAUCGGUAGUCAAAUUAGC